CCGCCCCCCGCCCUCACACCCCGUCACAACCUCCUCACAGCGCCCUCAUAGUCCCCCCCUCACCGCCGCUCCGCCCCAAUGCCCCCGGGCUGCCACAACCACCGGGUCUCCGUGCCCCUGCUGCCGAGCUGUUCCGACUCUGGGCUCUCCAUGUCCCCGGCUCUCCGUCUCUCGGACUCUCCGUGCCCCCUGUGCCUUACAGACCCCCCGCCCCCCGGCUCUCCGUGCCCCAAACUCCCUGGGCUCUCUGGCCCCCUUGUCACCGCCCAGUGGCCCCGCGGCCAGAAGGGUGCUGGUGCCCGUGCCCGCCUCGCCUCAGGGACCACUCAGCUGCCCCCAGGAGCUCCAGAGCUACAUUUGUCAAAAAAGCUAAAUUUUUUGAAAUAGAAGUUCGGGUAUAAACCGGUAUCGGUACUGUGGUAGAAAUGGUUAUACUGGGUGGGCCAUGAGGUCCUGCUGCUAUCCCGCAGCUUUAACCUUAUUUAACCGUGAGGUUCCCUCAGGGGAAGGCACGAGGAGCUGCCCACAGGUGCUGCGAGACUUGAAGUCUGAGGUAAAGCAUUUCUGGGUUUAUUCCCACCUUUCUCUGCUUGCUGAGGAUGCACUGAAUCCUCAGGGAAACCCAGGCUCAGCCCAGGGUCGGCCCUCGGGGCAGGAUCUGGUGUGUGCGAAAACACCAGGGAGUCCAACUGUGCCACGGGGAAACUCAACCUCGGCUCUGUGUAAUCAAGUCCUUAACAGAGACGUGGCAACUCGCACAUAAAAGGCUUCGGCGGCCGUUCCGUUCUAUUUGUGAAACUUCUCCAGAGCAGUUUUACAAGGCUGGGUAAGAAUGGUCCAUGUGUGAAAUACAGCCUUGAAUUCCGAUACCAGACACAGCUGUGGUGCUGGCACUCCACCAUCCCCACUGAUCUUCUAAUUUCUAGUGAUAAGAAAAAUGAACUCGAUAAAUAUUCAGAAGAAAACCAUAUAUCAAAGUCAGCCGUGCUGUAAAUGUGCCUUACAUUAUCAACACGGGGAUUCCAAUGUGAUGCCUCAAUUGUCUGGUAUUAACCUUAUUAUGUUUAAAGAAAAUAUAUCUAUAUACAUUUACCCCACAAGCAUUCAGAUAAACAAGUCUUUAUUCACUAUUCCCCUCUUUUUGCUUUUUCUGCUGCACCAUUUAUCUUUCAUGUUUGUUCUGGAACAAUAUUUUCUUCCCUUAUCUUUUUUCUUCCUUCCUUUCUCAGACAUUGAUGUUUUACCUGCAGGCUUUUCAGUAUUUUGUUUCAACCUUAAUUUUGUUACAUGUUAGAAAUUCAUUGCUGUCACAACUUUACCUACAUUGUAUUUUUCUUCCCCCUAAACAAAAAGUGAUAUUUCUAAAAUAUUGUUACACAUUUUAUCCUGCUUGUCAUGAUUGUCUCUGCUUAGUAUUCCAGUCUUUUUGUGUUCUAUUCCUUAUUCAAUUUCUCUACAGUCACCUGUUGCUGAAUAUGUCUUUCAUUACUGGAAGCAGCAAUGUUUGAGGCACUGGCUGUUUCUGAGGACCUUACAUGUAAUUUCUUUGCUCAUAAUACCUGGGAAUUUAUGGUGACGCUUCUGAUUCCAUCCAGGCUGUUGGAUUCAGGGGCCAGAGAGCAGCUGUACCCCAAAUUAUGGGCAUCUUUAGUCAUCAGAGGUUGAGCUUGAGCUCAGUGAUACCCUGUUACAAGUGACAAAAGGUAUCAAUAUUACAUUAUGUGUGAGAAAGGCUCCUGAAUGCUAUACAGCUGAAAUUUUGUCCUUGGAAGUUGUUUGCUACCUAAUUUAUUCCUGUUUCCUCACAACUGUUUCCAAGUCUCUGCUGCUGCUGGUGGCUCAUCCUUCUAAAUUUUAAAACUGGGAGGAAGAGCCAGAGGGCAGCCUUCCAAGCAGGAGUAGGAGAAAUAAUUAAGCAAUUAAUGUCUGGCAUUGGAGUUGGAUCUGCCUGGGAACAGAGGAACCACGGCUGCGACUCCUGCCCGGAGCGGGACAGGACAGUGGCAGGACCUGAGCCCUCUGCAAGGGCAGGACUGGCUGACAAAUAGUAGAGCUUUGUAGCUUGAGCCUGUUCCCCUUAGUUGUCCUUUCAUGUCCCUUCCGACCCAAACCAUUCUGUAAUUCCAUAAUUCAUCCUAUAUUUGGGGCUUCAUAGAAUGGAUUGGUAGAAAUAGCAAGUAACUUCUAUUUAUUUUGCACAGUUACAAACAAGAAAACAAAGGCUCCUUUUAAGAAAGAUGGAGGUCAUUAUGGUUUCUUCAGAAGAAAAAUGAGCUGUAGCACGAGACCGUUGUGUCCUUGACCUUCCUGGUUCUCCUCCUCACAAUCUGUCCGGCCCCCAAAACCAGGUUUUCCAUGAGAGAAGUGAGGAAGCAAAAAUGCUCCAGAACUGAGAGAAACAAAAGCACUUCCUGCGUGGAUGGGAAGGUCCCACAGCUGUGUCACUGUGCUCCAACCCCAGAUCCAGUUCAGUGGCCCCCUCACACAAAUAAACUUCACUGCACGCUGAGUUAA